rnacentral:rRNA from 1 species
AAUGAAUGCCGGGUAGCAAUAUCUGGCGGAAAUGGCGAAAGGGGCAGUAAUACAUGGACAACCUACCCUGGGGUUGGGCAUAGCCGUUCUAACGGACGGGUAAUUCCCAGCGAUUCGGCGACGUCGGCAUCGGCGUUCCGGGAAAGAAUUUCGCCUCGGGAGGGGUUCAUGAGCUAUCAGCUAGUUGGCGGGGUAAUGGCCCACCAAGGCUUAGACGGCUAGCGGGUGUGAGAGCACGACCCGCGCCACUGGCACUGAGACACUGGCCAGACACCUACGGGUGGCUGCAGUCGAGGAUCUUCGUCAAUGGGCGCAAGCCUGAACGAGCGAUGCCGCGUGAGCGAUGAAGGCCUUCGGGUUGUAAAGCUCAAAAGAGGUGAGAAAGGGAAACUUGAUCAAACCUCAGUAAGCUCGGGCUAAGUUCGUGCCAGCAGCCGCGGUAAGACGAACCGAGCGAACGUUGUUCGGAAUCACUGGGCUUAAAGGGCGCGUAGGCGGGUGUUCAAGUCCGUGGUGAAAUCCUCCGGCUCAACCGGAGAACUGCCUCGGAUACUGGAUGUCUCGAGGGUGGUAGGGGUAUGCGGAACUAUCGGUGGAGCGGUGAAAUGCGUUGAUAUCGAUAGGAACUCCGGUGGCGAAGGCGGCAUACUGGACCACUUCUGACGCUGAGGCGCGAAAGCCAGGGGAGCAAACGGGAUUAGAUACCCCGGUAGUCCUGGCCCUAAACGAUGGGAACUAGCUAGUAGGGUUCACAUGGCUUUACUGGCGAAGCAAAAGUGCUAAGUUCCCCGCCUGGGGAGUAUGGUCGCAAGGCUGAAACUCAAAGGAAUUGACGGGGGCUCACACAAGCGGUGGAGCAUGUGGCUUAAUUCGAGGCUACGCGAAGAACCUUAUCCUAGACUUGACAUGUGCGAUAGCGUUGGGCGGUAAC